GGAGGAAAAGAAACUAACAAGGAUUCCCUCAGUAACGGCGAGUGAAGCGGGAAUAGCUCAAAUUUGAAAUCUCCGGUGCUUGCACCGGCGAAUUGUAGUCUGUAGGGCCAGUUUCGCCCGAGACGGUGUCCCCAAAGUCGUCCUGGAAAGGCGGGCCGGAGAGGGUGAGAGCCCCGUGCGUGGGGGCACCGUCGGAGGUAAGAUCUGUGCCCGAAGAGUCGGGUUGUUUGGGAUUGCAGCCCAAAAUGGGUGGUAAACUCCAUCUAAAGCUAAAUACUGGCACGAGACCGAUAGCGAACAAGUACCGUGAGGGAAAGAUGAAAAGCACUUUGAAAAGAGAGUCAAACAGUACGUGAAACCGUCAGGGGGGAAACGAACGAGGUUGGUGCAGUGAUCACGCAGGUUCAAGCACCGCCGAGGGUGCCGACGCGUGGACCGAGACGGUCCCGUGGCGUUUGCCCGAGGCGGUGCCGUACUCCUCGUGAACACGGACCAGCGGCGGUUGGACCGGAGCCACAAGGCGGCAGCGGAAGGUGAGUCGGCGUGGGCUUGCUCGCGUUGACAGCUUAUAGCCCUGCCGUUCGGUGCUCCGGUGCGACCGAGGAAGAAGGGCAGCCCUUGCCCGUGGUGGUGCACGCCGUAUGGCGGGGCCUCCCGAUCCGAGUGAACCGUGCGGUGUGGACUGCGUGCAGUGCUAAUCGUGGCGGCGAUCUCGGGUCGGAGAGCGUCACUCGUGCGCCAGUGCUGCUGGUACUCAGACGGCCUCGUCCGACCCGUCUUGAAACACGGACCAAGGAGUGCAACAUGUGCGCGAGCCCUUUGGCGAGUAAACCAGAAGGCGCAAUGAAAGUGAAGGCACGGUCGCCGUGCUGAGGUGAGAGCCGUCCCCGACGGCGCAUCAUCGACCGAUCCCAUCCGCUCCCUCGUGGUGCGGCGGGAUUCGAGUAAGAGUGUACCUGUUGCGACCCGAAAGAUGGUGAACUAUGCCUGAAUAGGGUGAAGCCAGAGGAAACUCUGGUGGAGGCCCGUAGCGAUUCUGACGUGCAAAUCGAUCGUCAAAUUUGGGUAUAGGGGCGAAAGACUAAUCGAACCAUCUAGUAGCUGGUUCCCUCCGAAGUUUCCCUCAGGAUAGCUGUAGCCCGAAGCAGUUUUAUCAGGUAAAGCGAAUGAUUAGAGGUAUCGGGGAAGAAACUUCCUCGACCUAUUCUCAAACUUUAAAUAGGUAAGAAGUCCGACUUGCUCAAUUUGAAGCCGGACACAGAAUGCUGGGUUACUAGUGGGCCAUUUUUGGUAAGCAGAACUGGCGAUGCGGGAUGAACCGAACGCCGAGUUAAGGUGCCAAAGUCGACGCUCAUCAGAUCCCACAAAAGGUGUUGGUUGAUAUAGACAGCAGGACGGUGGCCAUGGAAGUCGGAAUCCGCUAAGGAGUGUGUAACAACUCACCUGCCGAAUCAACUAGCCCUGAAAAUGGAUGGCGCUUAAGCGUCGCACCUAUACUCGGCCGUCGGGGCAAGAGCGAGGCCCCGACGAGUAGGAGGGCGCGGUGGUGGUGAUGCAGCCUUUGGCGUGAGCCUGGGUCAAACCGCCGCUGGUGCAGAUCUUGGUGGUAGUAGCAAAUAUUCAAAUGAGAGCUUUGAAGACUGAAGUGGGGAAAGGUUCCAUGUGAACAGCAGUUGGACAUGGGUUAGUCGGUCCUAAGAGAUAGGGUAACUCCGUUUGAAAAGCGUGCAGUCCUCACGGUGUGCACCGUCCUGUCGAAAGGGAAUCGGGUCAAUAUUCCCGAACCGGAACACGGAUGUGGUGCUUCGGCAUCAAAGCGGCAACGCAAACGAACUCGGAGACGCCGGCGGGAGCCCCGGGAAGAGUUCUCUUUUCUUCUUAACAUGCUGUCACCCUGAAAUCGGUUUGCCCGGAGAUAGGGUCACAUGCCUGGUAAAGCGCCACACCUCUUGUGGCGUCCGGUGCGCUCUCGACGGCCCGUGAAAAUCCGAGGGAGCAGAUGAUUAUCGUGUCCGGCCGUACUCAUAACCGCAGCAGGUCUCCAAGGUGAACAGCCUCUAGUCGAUAGAACAAU
rnacentral:rRNA from 1 species